AUGGACGGCGACGAGGGCAGCCUCCGCUUCGACAUCGAGGACGGCCUCGACGCGGCCGGCGCUGGCACCGGAUCCUUGGCCUGGUCCUUCGAAGCCCCCAUCCCCGCCGCUGGAGGGCCGUCCUAUGGCCCUGGCAGCGGAAGCAUCCAAAUGGACGGCGACGAGGACAGCCUCCACUUCGACAUCGAGGACUACCUCGACGCGGCCGGCGCUGGCACCGGAUCCUCGGUCUGGUCCUUCGAAGCCCCCAUCCCCGCCGCUGGAGGGCCGUCCCAUGGCCCUGACAGCGGAAGCAUCCAAAUGGACGGCGACGAGGGCAGCCUCCGCUUCGACCUCGACGCCGUCGGUGCUGGAUCCGGCUCCGACGAGGAGAUCCCGGAGUGUAUAAUGUUUAGCGUGGGCUUUUGCCUUAAUGGACCUAAUUGCAAGUGCAUGCAUGUUAAGCUACCUGGGCCGCCUCCUGUUCAAGAAGUCCUCCAGAAGUUUCAACAGACGAAUGCCUAUAACUAUGGUUCAUCAAGCACAACUUAUCAGCCUAGAGACAAUAACUGUAAGCAGAAGGCGAAACCUCAAGUCCAGCAUGAGUCAGUGCUGGAGAAUCAAAAUUUGGCUGUAAAUGCUACUCUUGUAGCGCAACAACCUGCUGCUCAGCAUGUGCAGACAGAAAAUCCACCACCUCAUCUACAGCAGCAGCAAAAUGCUCAGGUUCAAGGUGUCCAUAAUGGUUCAUCUAUCCAAAAGCUACCACAACUGCAAGCCCACUUCCACAAGGGCAAUCAAGGUACUUGGUUAUUAAAUUUUGCAACCAGGAGAAUCUGGAUUUUGGUUCAGUGGGGUGUUUUUGCCCCUCAAAAAGGAUUAAUGAGGUUGAACUUGACGAAGCAUGUCCAUGGAGAGUGUCAUUUCAAUAUUCUCCAUCUCUAG
rnacentral:rRNA from 1 species